UCAAGCUGUUCCCUGAUCGACAAAUUCUCCAUUUGGGAAUUUCGUCAAUAUUUUUCCUGUCUUUAUCCUCAGCAUUGGUUGACGUUCAUCCUCACGGCUUAAACCUCUAACAAAAUUUUCUAUUGUUUUCCAAAUAAAAUUUUGCAAUUAACAAGUAAAAACCUUAGGAGGAAGAGAUUUUCUUUCGAACGCCCUCAGAUUAUCAAGAAAAAUCAAGACCGAUGCCAGUACAAUUCUUCGUUCAGGUGGUUUCGGCUGUUAUUAAAUUUGCGCUUCACCUGCCGAGAACCUCGACGGCUGCUUUGAGAGUCUCAAGAGUGCGCUAUGGAUAUCUUGGUGUCUUUAGCUUUAAAAAUCUUUCUACUUUCUACCUUAUGUAUAGACUACUCCAUCUUGUCUUACAAUCCAA